rnacentral:rRNA from 1 species
CAUAUCAAUAAGCGGAGGAAAAGAAACCAACAGGGAUUGCCCCAGUAACGGCGAGUGAAGCGGCAACAGCUCAAAUUUGAAAUCUGGCCUCGGCCCGAGUUGUAAUUUGUAGAGGAUGCUUUUGGUGAGGUGCCUUCUGAGUUCCCUGGAACGGGACGCCAGAGAGGGUGAGAGCCCCGUAUAGUCGGCCACCGAUCCUCUGUAAAGCUCCUUCGACGAGUCGAGUAGUUUGGGAAUGCUGCUCAAAAUGGGAGGUAUAUCUCUUCUAAAGCUAAAUAUAGGCCAGAGACCGAUAGCGCACAAGUAGAGUGAUCGAAAGAUGAAAAGCACUUUGAAAAGAGGGUUAAAUAGCACGUGAAAUUGUUGAAAGGGAAGCGCUUGUGACCAGACUUGCGCCGGGCUGAUCAUCCAGUGUUCUCACUGGUGCACUCGACCCGGCUCAGGCCAGCGUCGGUUCUCGUAGGGGGAUAAAAGCUUCGGGAACGUGGCACCUUCGGGUGUGUUAUAGCCCGCUGCUUAAUACCCCUGUGGGGACCGAGGUUCGCGCUCUGCAAGGACGCUGGCAUAAUGGUCAUCAGCGACCCGUCUUGAAACACGGACCAAGGAGUCGAGGUUUUGCGCGAGUGUUUGGGUGUAAAACCCGCACGCGUAAUGAAAGUGAACGUAGGUGAGAGCUUCGGCGCAUCAUCGACCGAUCCUGAUGUAUUCGGAUGGAUUUGAGUAAGAGCGUAAAGCCUCGGACCCGAAAGAUGGUGAACUAUGCCUGAAUAGGGUGAAGCCAGAGGAAACUCUGGUGGAGGCUCGCAGCGGUUCUGACGUGCAAAUCGAUCGUCAAAUUUGGGCAUGGGGGCGAAAGACUAAUCGAACCAUCUAGUAGCUGGUUACCGC